GCGCUGAGUGCGUGCCGCUCCGCAGACCCAAGAGGCUGAAACAAGCGAUUUCUGUCGUGAUUCACUGGGGCCGCUAACGUGCACUCCCUCUUUUCAUCUUAGGACAUGACACCAGUGGCAUAUCACGGCCAUGGGGUCUCAGCAUUCCGCUGCUGCUCGCCCCUCCUCCUGGAGGCGAAAGCAAGAAGAUGACAGGGACGGUUUGCUGGCUGAACGAGAGCAGGAAGAAGCCAUUGCUCAGUUCCCAUAUGUGGAAUUCACCGGGAGAGAUAGCAUCACCUGUCUCACGUGCCAGGGGACAGGCUACAUUCCAACAGAGCAAGUAAAUGAGUUGGUGGCUUUGAUCCCACACAGUGAUCAGAGAUUGCGCCCUCAGCGAACGUGAGUUACCUGCCUCUCACCUGUCAAUACCUACUUCUGUCCCUAAUCUCUUUCUGUAUGUAUGAAUGCCAGUUAAUUCUUUGAAAACUACAUAUGUUCUUAUAAGUUCCCCAUUUUCCUUUUAACUGUUUGCCCAAGUAAGAUAUUUCUGCCCCCAUCACAAUCUGGGGAAAGAAA
rnacentral:sRNA from 1 species